GGGUUGUGAGGUUAAGCGACUAAGCGUACACGGUGGAUGCCCUGGCAGUCAGAGGCGAUGAAGGACGUGCUAAUCUGCGAUAAGCGCCGGUAAGGUGAUAUGAACCGUUAUAACCGGCGAUUUCCGAAUGGGGAAACCCAGUGUGACUCGUCACACUAUCAUUAACUGAAUCCAUAGGUUAAUGAGGCGAACCGGGGGAACUGAAACAUCUAAGUACCCCGAGGAAAAGAAAUCAACCGAGAUUCCCCCAGUAGCGGCGAGCGAACGGGGAGGAGCCCAGAGCCUGAAUCAGCAUGUGUGUUAGUGGAAGCGUCUGGAAAGGCGCGCGAUACAGGGUGACAGCCCCGUACACAAAAGCGCAUGUGCUGUGAGCUCGAUGAGUAGGGCGGGACACGUGGUAUCCUGUCUGAAUAUGGGGGGACCAUCCUCCAAGGCUAAAUACUCCUGACUGACCGAUAGUGAACCAGUACCGUGAGGGAAAGGCGAAAAGAACCCCGGCGAGGGGAGUGAAAAAGAACCUGAAACCGUGUACGUACAAGCAGUGGGAGCACCCUUCGGGGUGUGACUGCGUACCUUUUGUAUAAUGGGUCAGCGACUUAUAUUCUGUAGCAAGGUUAACCGUAUAGGGGAGCCGGAGGGAAACCGAGUCUUAAUUGGGCGUUAAGUUGCAGGGUAUAGACCCGAAACCCGGUGAUCUAGCCAUGGGCAGGUUGAAGGUUGGGUAACACUAACUGGAGGACCGAACCGACUAAUGUUGAAAAAUUAGCGGAUGACCUGUGGCUGGGGGUGAAAGGCCAAUCAAACCGGGAGAUAGCUGGUUCUCCCCGAAAGCUAUUUAGGUAGCGCCUCGUGAAUUCAUCUCCGGGGGUAGAGCACUGUUUCGGCUAGGGGGCCAUCCCGGCUUACCAACCCGAUGCAAACUGCGAAUACCGGAGAAUGUUAUCACGGGAGACACACGGCGGGUGCUAACGUCCGUCGUGAAGAGGGAAACAACCCAGACCGC
rnacentral:rRNA from 1 species